rnacentral:rRNA from 1 species
GGCCACUGCUAUCGGGGUCCGACUAAGCCAUGCGAGUCAAGGGGCGCUUGCGCGCACCGGCACACGGCUCAGUAACACGUCGGUAACCUACCCUCGGGAGGGGGACAACCCCGGGAAACUGGGGCUAAUCCCCCAUAGGUUUGGGGCGCUGGAAAGCCCCCAAACCGAAAGCUCCGGCGCCCGAGGAUGGGCCGGCGGCCGAUUAGGUAGUUGGUGGGGUAACGGCCCACCAAGCCGACAAUCGGUACGGGCAGUGAGAGCUGGAGCCCGGAGAUGGACACUGAGACACGGGUCCAGGCCCUACGGGGCGCAGCAGGCGCGAAACCUCCGCAAUGCGGGAAACCGCGACGGGGGGACCCCGAGUGCCGUGGACAACCACGGCUUUUCCGGAGUGUAAGAAGCUCCGGGAAUAAGGGCUGGGCAAGGCCGGUGGCAGCCGCCGCGGUAAUACCGGCGGCCCAAGUGGUGGCCACUAUUAUUGGGCCUAAAGCGUCCGUAGCCGGGCCUGUAAGUCCCUGGCGAAAUCCCACGGCUCAACCGUGGGGCUUGCUGGGGAUACUGCAGGCCUAGGGACCGGGAGAGGCCGGGGGUACUCCUGGGGUAGGGGUGAAAUCCUAUAAUCCCAGGAGGACCGCCAGUGGCGAAGGCGCCCGGCUGGAACGGGUCCGACGGUGAGGGACGAAGGCCAGGGGAGCAAACCGGAUUAGAUACCCGGGUAGUCCUGGCUGUAAAGGAUGCGGGCUAGGUGUUGCCUGGACCCCGAGUCCAGGCAGUGCCGCAGGGAAGCCGUUAAGCCCGCCGCCUGGGGAGUACGGCCGCAAGGCUG